rnacentral:rRNA from 1 species
UACGGAGGGUGCAAGCGUUAUCCGGAUUCAUUGGGUUUAAAGGGUGCGCAGGCGGAUAUUUAAGUCAGUGGUGAAAUCCCGGGGCUCAACCUCGGAACUGCCAUUGAUACUGAGUAUCUGGAAUACGGUUGAAGUGGGCGGAAUGUAGCAUGUAGCGGUGAAAUGCAUAGAGAUGCUACAGAACACCGAUCGCGAAGGCAGCUCACUAAGCCGAUAUUGACGCUCAGGCACGAAAGCGUGGGGAGCGAACAGGAUUAGAUACCCUGGUAGUCCACGCCGUAAACGAUGAUNACUCGUUGUUGGCGAUAUACNGUCAGCGACUAAGCGAAAGCGAUAAGUUAUCCACCUGGGGAGUAUGAUCGCAAGGUUGAAACUCAAAGGAAUUGACGGGGGCCCGCACAAGCGG